UUGAAGAAUUUGAAGACUUCAACUUGCAUACUUGGAGGAUUUGAAAACUCCAACUUGCAUAUUUGGAGGAUUUGAAGACUUCAACU
rnacentral:pre_miRNA from 1 species